GGAUGAACGCUGGCGGCGUGCCUAAUCCAUGCAAGUCGAGCGAACGGACGAGAAGCUUGCUUCUCUGAUGUUAGCGGCGGCCGGGUGAGUAACACGUGGAUAACCUACCUAUAAGACUGGGAUAACUUCGGGAAACCGGAGCUAAUACCGGAUAAUAUUUUGAACCGCAUGGUUCAAAAGUGAAAGACGGUCUUGCUGUCACUUAUAGAUGGAUCCGCGCUGCAUUAGCUAGUUGGUAAGGUAACGGCUUACCAAGGCAACGAUGCAUAGCCGACCUGAGAGGGUGAUCGGCCACACUGGAACUGAGACACGGUCCAGACUCCUACGGGAGGCAGCAGUAGGGAAUCUUCCGCAAUGGGCGAAAGCCUGACGGAGCAACGCCGCGUGAGUGAUGAAGGUCUUCGGAUCGUAAAACUCUGUUAUUAGGGAAGAACAUAUGUGUAAGUAACUGUGCACAUCUUGACGGUACCUAAUCAGAAAGCCACGGCUAACUACGUG
rnacentral:rRNA from 1 species